rnacentral:rRNA from 1 species
CUACGGGGGGCAGCAGGCGAGAAAACUUUGCAAUGUGCGAAAGCACGACAAGGUUAAUCCGAGUGGUUUGUGCUAAACGAACCUUUUGACAGUCCUAGAAACACUGUUGAAUAAGGGGUGGGCAAGUUCUGGUGUCAGCCGCCGCGGUAAAACCAGCACCUCAAGUGGUCAGGAUGAUUAUUGGGCCUAAAGCAUCCGUAGCCGGCUCUGUAAGUUUUCGGUUAAAUCUGUACGCUCAACGUACAGGCUGCCGGGAAUACUGCAGAGCUAGGGAGUGGGAGAGGUAGACGGUACUCGGUAGGAAGGGGUAAAAUCCUUUGAUCUAUUGAUGACCACCUGUGGCGAAGGCGGUCUACCAGAACACGUCCGACGGUGAGGGAUGAAAGCUGGGGGAGCAAACCGGAUUAGAUACCCGAGUAGUC